rnacentral:tRNA from 1 species
GCCUUGAUCGUCUAGCGGUAGGACGCCCGUUUUGAAAGCGGGAAAUGCGGGUUCGAUUCCCGCGAAGGGCA